rnacentral:lncRNA from 1 species
AGGAGCUGCUUUCAGCAUGACAGCCAGGCUGAUACCAAUGUCUUGUGGAAGGCCUGAAAGAGGAGUUAUGGGAUCAACAUACCAGAAUCUGAGCCAAAACUUCCUACUAGAAAUAAAUGAGUUCCUGAGGAAUGGAGAUGAGUGCUCCUGCUGUGCUCCCGAGGAAAAAGGAGGAGCCCUGAGACAGGCAGUAACAACACUUUAAAUAAAACCAAUGUAUUCAAC